rnacentral:rRNA from 1 species
UACGAAGGGGGCUAGCGUUGUUCGGAAUUACUGGGCGUAAAGCGCACGUAGGCGGACUACUAAGUCAGGGGUGAAAUCCCGGGGCUCAACCCCGGAACUGCCUUUGAUACUGAUAGUCUCGAGUCCGGAAGAGGUGAGUGGAAUUCCGAGUGUAGAGGUGAAAUUCGUAGAUAUUCGGAGGAACACCAGUGGCGAAGGCGGCUCACUGGUCCGGUACUGACGCUGAGGUGCGAAAGCGUGGGUAGCAAACAGG